rnacentral:rRNA from 1 species
CAGCCGCCACGGGAAUACGUAGAGUGCGAGCGUUAAUCGGAAUUACUGGGCGUAAAGCAUGCGCAGGCGGUUGUGUAAGACAGGUGUGAAAUCCCCGGGCUUAACCUGGGAACUGCGCUUGUGACUGCACAGCUAGAGUAUGGCAGAGGGGGGUGGAAUUCCACGUGUAGCAGUGAAAUGCGUAGAGAUGUGGAGGAACACCGAUGGCGAAGGCAGCCCCCUGGGCCAAUACUGACGCUCAUGCACGAAAGCGUGGGGAGCAAACAGGAUUAGAUACCCGGGUAGUCCCUGUCUCUUAUAC